UACGUAGGGGGCAAGCGUUGUCCGGAAUCAUUGGGCGUAAAGAGCGUGUAGGCGGCCCGAUAAGUCCGCUGUGAAAGUCAAAGGCUCAACCUUUGAAAGCCGAUGGAUACUGCCGGGCUGGAGUCCGGAAGAGGCGAGUGGAAUUCCUGGUGUAGCGGUGGAAUGCGCAGAUAUCAGGAGGAACACCAAUAGCGAAGGCAGCUCGCUGGGACGGUACUGACGCUGAGGCGCGAAAGCGUGGGGAGCGAACAGG
rnacentral:rRNA from 1 species